rnacentral:RNase_P_RNA from 1 species
GGAGUUGGCCAGGUCAUCGCUGCCUGUCUCUCACGCAAGUGAGUUGGCAAGUGGAGGAAAGUCCGGGCUCCAUAGGGCAAGGCGCCAGGUAAUCCCUGGGGGGCGUGAGCCUACGGAAAGUGCAGCAGAGAGUAAACCGCCUACGUGACCGCUAAUUGGUAUAAUUAUCGGUUGCCGGUAAGGGUGAAAGGGUGCGGUAAGAGCGCACCGCGUCGGUGGCAACAUUCGAUGGCAUGGUAAACCCCGUCUGGAGCAAGACCAAAUAGAGGGACAUUAGGCGUGGCCCACGCUGUCCCCGGGUAGGUCGCUUGAGCGUUAUGGUGACAUAACGCCUAGAUGAAUGAUGAUCCACGACAGAACCCGGCUUAUGGCCAACUCCUUUU